UGAAGCACAACACACGGUCCUUUCCCUAUAUAUAGAGAGAGUACUGGAUGAUCAUUGCGCAAAUCAUCAGUACUCGACUCUCAUCACAGUUAGUACACACGACGUAAAUAUUGCUCUACGACUCGAUAAUUAUUUCAAAGCUAGCUAAAGCGCGUAGAUACUUUUGUCAAGUUCAUAAUACCCCCUAUCUAUGGCUUCAUUGUCCGGCUUUGUGGUAGGUUGCUUCUCCGGGCAUUCGAGCAGGGUCAAAAGUGAAGGAGAUAACAAAGAACACGGCUCCUCUGAGAACAGCAACAGCUCAACCGAAAACAAAAUGGUAGAUCAUCAUCAAGUGGAAGGUCAAUGUUCGAAGAGUAGCUCAUCAUCAACAAAGAGGAAAUCUCCUCCUAUCCCCGUCCCUUACUUCCCUGUGGGAUCGAGAUUAUCCUUCUUGUAAGAGUCAAUCGGGAACUUUUACUUUCCUUAGAUCAAUUGCAUGCAUGCUGUGGCAUUGUGUAUAUUGAGGCCAGAGAUCUGAUGCUGCUAUGUAUGGUGUACAACUUAUUCAUGUCACAAGGGAUGCGGUCUUUGUAGGGUGGUCAAGGGUAAAGUUUUUCCUCUAUAUGUACAUCAUAUUGUUAACUCAUUUACCUAGUUAAAUCCUUUUUAUUUUUCCUUUUUCCUUUUUCCUUCUGGAAAGCUAUCUUCUUGAAUUCCAUUUCACUAGUUGGAAUGCCGCCCGACACGUUAGUUUUGAAAAAGGGAGCACCAAUUAUGUUGAGAAAUUUGGAUCCAAAGUUGGACUGUGCAGUGGAACAAGAUUGAAAUGUCUUGACUUCCUGCCAAAUGUUUAUUAGUGAUAUGCUCUAGGUUCAGUUUAUGUAUUUGAAUAAUUCCUAUUUAUGAUAAUGACAUUUAUUCUAUUAUUUAUAUAUUGUCUAUGUUUAUUAGAAUAAGUACAUAAGAUAUUUUAUGAAUGCUUCAUUUUUAAAGAAUUAAGAAUAUGAGUAAUGGAGUAAUUCGAUAAAAAUAUCUUUAAACUGUUCACGAUCCUAGGAGACUUGACUGGCCAUUAUCUCUCUGGAUAGAUUAUCGCUCAUAUUUGUAUCCAUAAUUAGUAUAAAGAUAAUAAUGAAUAUGGAGUAGUGAGUGUAAGCACCUCAUUCCGACCAAGGCUACGAUCAUCGUUUGGGGAGCACAUCAAAUCAGAGAACCGACCAAGCACCUGAGAAUUGCCCGUAAGAAGACGGACUAUCAAGAACAAACAGAUAAGUCCUCUAUGCUAAGUACUUAAUUUUAACUAUCCGUCACUUUUUUCAAAAUUGUACGAGUUAAUAGAUUUUUUACGGAUCGAGCUCCAGUUGUAAGAAUAAUCUUGAAUUGUAAUCAAUAUAAUUUUGUUGGAUUGUAUAUCAUAGGUUUAAUAUUUCAGCGGAAGCCACCUGCAAGUUAAUGGGGAAGUUACUAUCCUUGAAAUACUUUCUUGGAAGCACCUUGCCCGCUAUCCCAAUCUUGACUUUCUGAUAUUUGUGAUUUAAAGAUUUUAAAUUCAUUACAACAUCAGAAAAUAAUGUAAUAAUUUAUUGUCGAAACCAUAGAUGUAUAUAUUAGUUAUUAUACGUACUAGUUCUUGCCUCUUAAUUUUAAAUAACCAGUAUAAUUGUAUCUUGAAACCCAAACUUAGAAAAAGAAUUUUGAUUUAUGUAAUUUGGGAAGAAAAGGGACGAAAUUUCUGCAAGCAAUGAAUAUCGGUCCCAUUAUUUGCAUACAACAUAUUGAUCUUUUAUCCACGUGUUGCAAUCUUUCAAAUAACUAUGUGCCUUCAGCUACAACAGUUCUAGAUACAAGAAUCAUGAUACGCUCGGUUUAUGCAAAUAAUGCAUCUUAGAUUAAAACUUCAAUUACAUGGAUUCGUUGAUUUCGUACCAUUUGACGUCUCCUGCAUGUCGGAUAAUCGACAUUUCUAGAGAUAGGCAUCAAGAUACGCUUGGUUUAAGCAAAUAAUGCAUCUUAGAAUCAAAAAUACACAUUUCCCAAGUCAAAUUUAUAAUAUAAUCUCAUUUGUCAUUUUCCACAAUUAAAAUCCAAAUCAAAAUCAAAAUUACUUUAACUCUGAAACCAAACGCAACCAUUAUUUUUAUCCUAAGAUGCGUUAUUCCCAUGAACUGAGCAUAUCUCUCAAUGCAUGUACCUACAAAUGUCGUUUAUCCGACUAGCAAGACAAGUUGAAUCGUACAGAUUCAAUUCCUGCGAUGUAAGAAUUUUUAUUCCAAGAUGCAUCAUUCACAUAAACCGAUCGUAUCUCGAUGCUUGUAUCUAUAGAAGUGUUGUUUAUCGAACAAGCAGGAGAACUCGGAUUGUACAUAUGCUCAAGGCACAUAGUAAUUUAAUAGGCUGCAACCCGUAGGUAAUUGUAUGCGAAAUUUUCAUCCCCCAAUCCUCCCAAUUACAGGGGACAAAAGUUAUAAUUGCCUUAGUUUUACUAAGCUAAAGUUAUUUCGACUAAGCAGCAUGUAACCGUAAUAAAUAUCGUGUACUAACCUUGUGCUGUAUAUGAAAUAUAUAGCGUGUUUUUGUUUGACAUAGUGCUAUGUUGUUUGUCAUCUUAUAAUCACUACAUCGGAACUAAAAAAAGAGGGCUAGGUCUUAAGCUCUUAUUGGAUUGGACUAAAGCAAAUAUUAUGAGAUUCAUUUGGUUAUUAAUUAGUGGGCUGGAUCACUUUGGAUAGCAUGGAUAAAGGCCUACUUAAUCAAGGAAAGCAACUUUCGGCUUCUUGAACCUCCGAGCUACUGUUCAUAUGCUUGGAGGAAGAUGUUAAAAUUGAGGAAUCUUGUAUAUCCCUUGAUCAAACAUUCAAUUGGAGAUGGGAGGAGUACUUGGCUUUUUGGCUGGAUAAUUGGCAUCAUUUGAGCCCUCUUUACUCUGUUCUGCAAGGUAGAGGAGUGAGUGGGACUGGUCUGGCUUUUCAAGCAAGGUGUCUGGUGUCGCUGAAGGUAGGAGUUGGAAAUGGAAGGAUAGCAGAACUGACCCUAUGCUUAUUAUUCAGAGUGGUUUUCAACAUAUCUCCCCUGAUGAUAGUCGAGGGGAUAGGAUUGUCUGGUCUGGGAACUCCAGAGGCAUCUAUACAGUAGCUAUUGCGUGGGAUCAAAUUCGAAGGAAGGGACCAUCUGCUAAUUGGUAUGAAUGGAGAAACAAGAAGUUGCAGUACGUGGUCAAAUGAACUUGAUUGGGCUAUCAGGAAUUACGAAGGCAGGUCACUUUCAAGCAUAGUGGCAAGAUUAGCUUGGAGAGCUCAUAUCUAUUUUAUUUGGAAGGCCAGGAAUGACAGGAUUUUUGCAGGCUUGGCUCCAUCUGAAGAGACGGUCAAGGCUUGUAUAAGGAUGGCUGUCAAGUGCAGAUUGCUUGGAAUGCAAAAUCUGCAGAGUAAGGUGGUUAGUUCUCAGCAAAUCAAGUUGCUUGAAUCUUGGGGCAUAACUCAGUAAGUAUUUUCAGUUUUGAUCCUGUUGUUUUCUUUGGUUUGGGUGUUAGGCAUCUGUUGAUUUUUGGGGUCUGUGUACCUUCUCUUAUUUUGGUCUGUGUACCAAUUUUAUGGGCCUCCGUGCCUAUUUUGGUUGGGUCUGGGCGGCCUUUGAGCCUAGUGACCCAUCUUUGAUGGAUUCGAGUUAUUUGAGUUUAAAUAAAGAGCAGCGCUAAUUGGAUCGAAAAAAUGAAUUUUACUUUGCCGUUCCUAGCAUUGAUUUGCAUGGUCAAUUGACUUAAUGGAAUUUAAUAUUCCUUUGAUUUAACACCCAAUGUAUCUGCCCGUUCAAGGCAAUUAAGUUCAGUUGAUUUUCUUUUACUGUUUGAAGGGUUAUUAUUUUGUCUUAUCAAAAUAUAAAGCUUUUCUAUGCUAUAUACACGCAUACACAGUGUACGAGUUUUUUUAGUAUUGUGAGCUCAAAAUUUAGUUGAAUAUUCAUAUUAUUUAUACAAUAUAUUUUAUAUUAUCUUGGGUUGGGUUCUAGUGAGGACGUUUCGUGUUUGCAGUCAUGAUUUCUCCUCGUGGGCAUUGUAUCUCAAGUUUGGCUAAUUUCGUUGAAGUCGCGUUGCAAUUUUGCGGGGAAUUAUCUGUCCUUAAGAGAAUUUCCUAGAAACGUCUUGCCCACAAUUGUAUUUCGAUUUAGAUUUUCUUGUGAUUUGCAGUUGUAUUUUAUUUUUAAUUUUGAUGUGUUAUGUAAAUAUAAUUUCUUGUAGUUGUGUGGUUUCCCAUAAGUAUUUGUAUAAAAUUUAUUUUUGAUAUAUUCUCCACAUCUUGAAACUGUCCACAACACUUAGUCCCUGAAUUUACUAAUGCAGAUGUUGAUUUUAUUGGUAUACUUCAAUGGCUCAAACCCUUACAAAAUACCCCAAGGGCGAUAACUCAAUGUGAGAUUUGAGAAAUUUUAUCUUUGCCUAAACUAUAAAAAAAAAAAAAUGUUCAUCCAUAGGUGAAGCGGGAAUUUAAGGAAUGGAUUGAUUGGUUUAGGAGAAUGUUGAAGUGGCUUUAUCUAGAGGUUAAAGAGAGAUUCCUCCGGCUAAGGAAUGAACUUAAGUGGCAGACGAGAAGACGAUGGUCAUAUUCUGAUCAAGAGGAAGACCUCUCCAAUAAAAUUUGUGGACUCUUGAGCAUACAGCAAAGUCGACCUGUCGCCUUAAAACUCAUCGCUUCUUGGGAGGCAAUCCAAGUUUCUAUCUUUUUUUCUAAUUUUGGUUUGAUUUUUAUUUAUUUAUUUUUACUUUUAGUCUGUAUUUAACGUAUUUUUAUGUGCCAUUGCAGUUUCAAGAAUUACAUUUUGCGGCUU